GAGCCUGGAUCCUCAUGGAAACUAUGUUGGGUUUUUAACCCUCUGAGCCACAAUGGGAGCACCUCACCUUACUGCUUAAUUAAUGUCAGUUUCAGUUUCUGACUCCCAGCCUGAUGCUCUUGGCAUUUCUCUGGGCACCCUUUCCACAGCUUACUUUUCAUGUUGGCAGAUGGGGACCUAGCCAACUCCUGGGACAGACCAUUGCAAACUGCUGGAUCUAAAUAAAGGGGUGAUUAUUAUUUCAGCGGGGAGGACCUGCAAGUCAAUGGUGGUUACUCAGCUCAGCAUCUUAAUAGAAGAAGACCGGCUCUCCAUGGCGCCAGGAAUCCCCAGCUUUCCUUGGCUCAGACAUUUUUUGGAAAAGAGCUAAGGCCAGGGGUGAGACUGAUUCCUUAUUGACAAAGAGUGAUGAGAAAUUUAAUAAGUUGCUUGGAGGAAAAAAUGCCCUUUCUCCUUGGACAAAGAAAGAGGGAAGAAGCACUUUUUGGGUGAGGAUAGAGGGAAUGAACUCUUAGGAUUGAGGAGGUUUGCAACCAGAUCGUCUCUUUGCUGGGGAAGAAAGCCAGUGUGAUUCAGCAGUUUUCUCAAAUCAGCAGAAGGAGGAGGGCUGAGAGGGUCCAAAAUCAUGGCUCUGAGGGGAGAAGUUUAUCUUUUCUGGGGAGUUGACAGCAGGCAGGGCUAGAGCAAUAGGUUUAACAUGGUUAAUUGAAAUUCGUGUGUAAUCCUAAAUCCUCCUUGUCCCUAGUGCUAACUACAGCCUCUCAUGUAGUAAGUCUUCCAUCAGAGCUGUUCAAAAGUAGCAGCAGUGAUUACUUUGAUUUUAUCUUGUCCUGUUUCCUCUGCCCACCUCCAGGGGAAUUGCAAACAAAGUAGGGAAUGAGCUUACUGAUGAGGUGGUAUGAGAGACGAGCUUGUUGCCCAGGGCCCUGGGGUCUGAGCUGGAAGAGAGAGCAGCUCAUAUACCUCCCUCCUGGACCCAAAGGUGCAAAGGCUCAUUGCUCCCUGGUUAUUUGGGUCAUAUGGGUUCCCAUACACAUGGGACUUUCAUGCUUGUUGAAAACCUUUUGAGGACUGUAGAAGUACAAUGUUCCCUUGGAACAACUCAAAUUUCCGAAAGGUCCUGCUUUAACUGCAUCAGAAUGUGAAUUGGGUUUGGAAGGGGCUGGGGAGAAUUGCCUGUUAAGAGCUUUUCUAUGAGCCCCUUUUAGAAGGAGAGCAUUCACUUUAAAAAUUAUCUUUGUGUAAAACUCUGCAUUUCCAAUUAUUCAGAGUGUAUGAAAUCUCCCUCCACCUCCCUGCUUCCAAUUUAGUCCUCUGAUAGCUCCAGAUUUGUAACUCUCAAACCUUGUUUUUAAAAAUAGUCAUGUAAUGUCUCUACAACAUGAUAGAAUGGCAGAAAUUCUGGAUGUGUUUCCUGGCUUUCCCCAAAGGCCUUUCUUCACCAGGGGACCUACUGCAGAGAGUGAGGCCUGUAGGAUGAUAGAGAAGACCAUUCCCGGAGCCCCACAGCAGCCAAGGAAGCAGAAAUACCUGCCAAAUGCACAAAAAGAAAAGUUAAUAGGACCAGAACCCCAGGUUAGAAACUCACAGAGCUCCAUCCCAAGGGGGCUGGGAGCUUGCUAUUUGGAUGAUCUUGCUGAGAAAGUUUCAAAGACUCCAGGGGAUUUAUUAAUGGUUAAGGCAUUGAAACCUUUGGCUGCUUGCAGCAGUGCCCUUUGCAAUAGCAAAUUUGUCUUUUCAAAUAUAUCUAGAACUUGUGCUUAAUGUUCUUUACUGAUUUAAACCAGGCAAGGAGGCAGUAAAUCAGAUGAUCAUCAUCCUCAGGAAGGAGAGCAAUCUGGAAUGUUAAUUUUCUAGCUGAAAUUACUGGAAGUUUCUUUUCAGUUUGUUUUUUAAAGGGAGAGAAUAAAAACGGAGCCAAGCCAAAGGUCCCUGGACAAGGUUUUCCACUCCUCAGGUUAUCGGAGGCUUCAGUGCCAGUAGAAAACCAGGCUGAAGCCCUCUCAAGGGUUGUGAAUCUCUGCAGAUCUGCCUUCUGCAAAUCAUUUGGUAAGGAAAUCUUACUGAGGAUGUGGAAACACUGCGAGAGAAUCCUGUGAUCCUGAUAAUUCCCAACAUGAAGAGAUACUUUUGCAGAGCACAGUGUAGUCUGGUUAAUCUGGUGGCUGUCACUCUGAACCUGUUUCACUGAGAAUUUCUUCAAUUCUGGGAGCACAUAAGGGAAGAUUUGGCCUAGAGAGAGAAGAAUAACACCACCAAGGUGUGACCUGCUUCUUCUCCUUCCCAUCAGCCCCAGGGUCAAAAAAAGAGUGGACUUCAUUGCCCUCAAUCAUAUCCUUUUACUGGUAAUGUGUAGAUUCUCCCUGCAUAAUGGUGUCCACUCCAACCUGGCAGCUAUUCAGAGGUUUCUAGGAAGCAUCUCAUACGAUAUGUUAAAAUGUAGACUUGAACCCCUGAUGAGAUGGAAUGACCUGGGUCACUCAACCAAGACACAGGGAAGGCAUGCCACUGGCUGAAAUCCAAUUAGGUUAGACUGAAAAUGAAGUAACUAUUGAUUUAUUCAGUAAGACUAGAAACAUCAAUUUUAGCUGUGUGAGAAAUGAUGUCUGUGAUGUUUGACAUGAAACUUACAAAUGGACUCCACAGCAGAAGUACUGAAUGAUUGCUCAAAAGAUAUGGCCAAGGAGGGUAAUGGAAAAAGAUACAUACUGAAAGUGGAGUCAAGAGCUGGCAGAAGAGAUGGACCUGGGUACCAUUCUGUGGGAACAAAGCUGGGAUGAGUCAAGACCUAUCCUGGAGUAUAGGAGCUGACAACAUCUUCCACAGAGAACAUGGUUCUCUGACUGCUACCUGCCUUCCACUUUUUAUCUUCUUUUUUAAAAUCAAGGGUUAAAAGAAGGAUUAACAAGAAUUAACAAAAUACUGAGUCCUGAAUAUAAACAAAUGUACAUGCCAAAAUCCCUGGGAUGCAGAUGUAGCUACAGAGGUUGGUGGUAAAAUUAUACCCUUACAUUUAUUUAAUAAAAUAAAAUGAGUAAUCUAAAUAUCCAGUGUACAAAACUAUUCUUGGACAAAAGUUUUAUUUUAAUCAGUUAAUGUUGUAGUUCCUUCCUUUGUAUUGUUAUGCUAAAUUUUGUUGUAGAAUUAAACACAUUCAUUUAUCAGUUUUCCUCCUGAUCAACACUUGGGUUGCUUCUACAUUUAGCUACUGUCAAUAAAGCUGCUAUGAAAAUUCA